AGGAAUUUAGGCUAAACCAGACCAGGGGCCUUCAAAGCCCCAAGUAAGUACACAACACUUAAUUC
rnacentral:tRNA from 1 species